rnacentral:lncRNA from 1 species
ACAACCAAUACAAGAUUUUAGAACUUGACAUCGUGAUAAACAAAUUGUACAUUCAGGAACUCGUUUAAAUAUUAUAGGUUGAUUGACGAAUACUCUACAGUUGAUUAGAGCCCAUGAUGAUGCGAAGAUAAUUAAUAUCACCUAACUUCAAGAAACCAACGUAAAGAAGUUUACAUUCAUAACUCAUCUAACCAUUAUAGAUCAGUAAUGUCGUCAUAAUUUAAAUGAACUCACAGAUAGCAAUGGGGCACUGCACCGAAGCAGUAUUACAAAAUAUGUGAAAUAAAACUGUAAUACAAAUUGCUCUAUAAAAUUUAAUAGAAAUAAAUUUAUUUAUGAAAAUUAAGUUAUGAAGUUUUAUUUUUCCUAGGAAAAAAAUAACAUUUAUAUUUUGAUCAAUUUAGAACAUUACAGUUAAAAAAAUAUGUGUUAGAAUAACAUAUUUUUAAUAAAAUUGCAGCUUUUAAUUUUUAUACUUUUUUGCUUUUAUAUCAAUAAGAACUAACGUAAGGAACAAUUCAUAUUUAUACUAUGAAAACACAUGCAUAUUUUUUGAUGUUUUUAAAACCAGUGAAUGAUGUUGAAAUAUACUACACCUAUUAUUCUUAUUAACUAACUUUAAUUACAAACUUACACAUUAUUGUCAUUGGAAAUAAAUUAAUUUGGAUAUUCUA